UAGGGAAUCUUCCACAAUGGACGCAAGUCUGAUGGAGCAACGGCCGCGUGAGUGAAGAAGGUUUUCGGACCGUAAAGCUCUGUUGUUGGUGAAGAAGGAUAGAGGUAGUAACUGGCCUUUAUUUGACGGUAAUCAACCAGAAAGUCACGGCUAACUACGUGCCAGCAGCCGCGGUAAUACGUAGGUGGCAAGCGUUGUCCGGAUUUAUUGGGCGUAAAGCGAGCGCAGGCGGAAGAAUAAGUCUGAUGUGAAAGCCCUCGGCUUAACCGAGGAAUUGCAUCGGAAACUGUUUUUCUUGAGUGCAGAAGAGGAGAGUAGAACUCCAUGUGUAGCGGUGGAAUGCGUAGAUAUAUGGAAGAAUACCAGUGGCGAAGGCGGCUCUCUGGUCUGCAACUGACGCUGAGGCUCGAAAGCAUGGGUAGCGAACAGGAUUAGAUACCCUGGUAGUCCAUGCCGUAAACGAUGAGUGCUAAGUGUUGGGAGGCUUCCGCCUCUCAGUGCUGCAGCUAACGCAUUAAGCACUCCGCCUGGGGGAGUACGACCGCAAGGUUGAAAC
rnacentral:rRNA from 1 species